CAAAAAGACAGUCUCAGUUCGGAUUGAAGGCUGAAAUUCGCCUUCAUGAAGCCGGAAUUGCUAGUAAUGGCAGGUCAGCAUACUGCCGUGAAUACGUUCCCGGGCCUUGUACACACCGCCCGUCACACCAUGAGAGUUGGGGAUACCUGAAGCCUGUGAGCUAACAGUAAUGAAGCAGCAGUCGAAGGUAGAAUCAAUGAUUGGGGUGAAGUCGUAACAAGGUAUC
rnacentral:rRNA from 1 species